AUAACUGUUAUACUUUGCAUCGGUGUUUCAUAGAAACUCCCAAUAAAAUACACAAAAGAUUAGAAUGACAAAACGUGAAAAGUUCAAAAUGAAGAAUGUUUGCAAGGCAAAGGUGUUCAUUGUUUUUUUUUUUUUUAACUUGUCAAUUGUUUCGACUCUUUGUCAUGUUUUACGUUGUGCAUGUGGUUGACACCUGUGAUGGAAAAGAUAGACCAUGUCAUAUCCACGGACUGGGUGUGGUGUGGUAGUGUGCUGUGUCUCUUUUCUUCCCCUCCUUUCUGCACAGGGUGUGGCGGGCAGGUGCUGCCGCACAGCUGAUCUCCAUCAGAGCGCAAUCAGAGGAGCUUUAAGAGGAGUUGGAACCUGGAGGGAGACGUCAGCCCGUUGUCGCUAUCUGUGUGACCUUGUUAAAGGAAGCCGUUCGUGAUUCUGGAGUUCCAGCCUGCUCGUGUUUGCUCAGUCGUACUUCAAAACUCCUGCUAGACGUCCGGCUGUAAGUCUCCGCUCCGGGUCCGACCCACACAGCCCUGCUGCCCGUACAGCGUUGAGGAUUCCGCCCACCUGCCUGUCCACCCUCCAACGGCACCCUCCUCGACCGCAGAAAGGAUUCCUCCCAGGAAAAGAAGCCGCUGCACUCGUACAUCUACCCACUGCCGGUCCCAGCUCCGUGACAAACACGCCCCCCUCCCGGAAAUCCCAGUCACGGAUCCAUGAAGAUCCAGAGCUCAUGCCGAUUCGGUCUGCCUCAAAACCUGCAAUUGUUUUCCACAGCAAUAAACUCUUUCAAACGCCCUCUGUUGUCCUCGUGGCUGGGUCCCCUUUAAGAGUCUCAGAAAUGGCCGUUAUGACACACCAGAGACAAUUUGGCCCUCUCAUUUAAAUGAAGAAAAUGUAAGACGUGAUGUCUUCCAGAAAGCAAGGAGCCAGUUUGGACUAUUUGGGCUCCGUAUCAGAUGAGUCAAAGAAACCGGUGAAGCAACAGAAAUCAUAUGUAGGAAUCCACACUGAUUUACUGUCAGCAGAGAGGUUCUUUCAUCUUGUUUGCUCUGACAGCGCCCUCUAUUGUCCUGUGUCCUCUACUCUGAAGCAUUUAUCUUUGCCCACAUCGGAGGAGGAGCUCCGAUCCGAAACUACAUUUUUUGUUUUAUUUACAAGCUUCAAAUAAAAAUCUAAACAUUUUUGCUCAAAAUGAGAGAAAUUCAAAAAUGUUGGGUUACUGUUGCAUUCUCAACCAAAUAAGACUGCAAGUUAAGGUCUUUAGAAGGAAAAACAGACAGAAUAUUUAAGAACAAAAUCAAUGUGCAAAAAAACAAAUAGUGCACCCCUGUUGCUGAUAUGCUUUAUAAAAAUGUCAGUUAACAUCUCA